GUGUCACCCGCUUUCAUGAACAAUGCUGCCUGGAGCCUGUGGUGUUUAGAGGAGUAGAUUUAACCACAGAGGGUUUGUGGGAACUCCUAGUUCAGAACACAAGGGAGGAGAGAACAGAACAUUGAGAUGCAAAGAUUUAUGAGGGAGAAAGACUCAUGUAAGAAAAGGAAAUUAGAAACCAAGCAAGCAGAAUAUUCCAAAGACAGCCACAUACCACCCAUAAUAAUGAAGUUUCCAUGACUCUCUUUGGCUCAGAUAGGUCUGCUUAAUAAUUAAUAUGGCAACUCUCCCUCUCUCUGCAAACAGGUGGCUGUACAGGGCUUGGCAAAUAUUUCCUUAUUGCUCCCUUUACUUUCUCCGAGAGGAAGGUUGGGUGGUCCAGAGGAUUUCCCAGAUGGAGCAGCAGGCUUCCCAUGCCUGCCAUUUGCAUAAGUGGCAAGGGGGGGAAAUGAGGAGACCUUCCAAUGUCUUCUCUACCAAGUGAAUCUCUGACUCUACAAGUUUCCUUCCCAAGACACUGUGGUCCAGGGCUACCUCCCUUACAGCCUACAUGACAACAUGUGCAAAUUAUUUGUCAGCAUCUAAUUGCAAGAACGGGAGCUGCCUGCCUAGAGGAAACAGGGAGCCUUUAGCCUGCUCCUCCAGGCUCAACAUUUGACAGGGGCAUGACCAUGUCCAGCAUUGCUGAGUAACUGGGAAGAGAAGCCCACUGUUGCUGCACACCCUACGCCAAGCCUUCAAACAGUCCCAGCAGUAAUCAAGUGACCCAUAGCAACGGGAUGGCCAUCGUCUAAGAUAACCUGUU
rnacentral:lncRNA from 1 species